GACGAACUGUGCAAACGUUAUUCGGAAUCACUGGGCUUAAAGGGUGCGUAGGCGGCUCGUCAAGUAGGGUGUGAAAGCCCCCGGCUCAACCGGGGAAUUGCGCUCUAAACUAGCGGGCUUGAGUGAGGCAGGGGUAUGUGGAACUUCCAGUGGAGCGGUGAAAUGUGUUGAUAUUGGAAGGAACGCCGGUGGCGAAAGCGACAUACUGGGCCUUGUCUGACGCUGAGGCACGAAAGCCAGGGGAGCAAACGGG
rnacentral:rRNA from 1 species